CACGUAGGCGGGAACUUAAGUCAGGUGUGAAAGACCGAGGCUCAACCUCGGGUAUGCACUUGAAACUGGGUUUCUUGAGGGCAGGAGAGGAAAGCAGAAUUCCUGGUGUAGCGGUGAAAUGCGUAGAAAUCAGGAGGAAUACCAGUGGCGAAGGCGGCUUUCUGGACUGACCCUGACGCUGAGGUGCGAAAGCGUGGGUAGCAAACAG
rnacentral:rRNA from 1 species